GCUUACGGCCACACCGGCCUGAGUACGCCUGAUCUCGUCCGAUCUCUGGAAGCUAAGCAGGGUCGGGCCUGGUUAGUACUUGGCUGGGAGACGCCUGGGAAUACCAGGUGCUGUAAGCU
rnacentral:rRNA from 1 species